rnacentral:lncRNA from 1 species
UUUUCGAGAAAAAGGAGGUUUAUUAUUUUUACACAUAUAGGUAUAUAUGUGGUUUUUGGUAUUUGGUGAGUGGAUGGGUUUCGUCGUGAAUCUGUGACCAAAUCGGAUUAAACGAAAUGCUAGAUUCGAUGCCCUAGUCGUGCUGAACGCACUGGGGCAAACCGAUCGGAAAUCCGACGAACGGAUCUUCGGGAAAUGUGAAAAGUUCGUUGAGGGUUGAAUUGGCAAAAACGAAAAUUCUGCGAAAGGUCUAAUGUUUUAUGCGCCGUUUUGUGAGAUUUCGAACGUCGAGGGGCUUGUGUGCAAAAUGCAUGGACUGGCA